CACUGUAGAAAUAUAUAUAUAUAUAUAUAUAUAUCUUUGUGUAUAUAUAUUUUUCUCUUUUCCUAUAGGAAGGAGGCAAGAAGCCAAGUGGCAGGAUAUAUGCUGACAAAGCUGAAAAGAUGACAAUCUCACAGAAGAAAAUUGGAGACAGCAGAAGUUACAGAGUCCUGUUCAGAAUGAAUUAAAGCAGUUUUGUGGAAUAGCUUGAUUUUCCUGUUACAGUUUUGACCACUCUGAGUUUGACAGCUGAGGGCAGGAGAAGAGGAGCAUCUUGUCUCCCUCCAGCAGAACAGUGAGCCAGAAUGAAAUGUCUGCUUCCUGUUGGAUCUUGGAGUCACAAUGUGAAAAUGUGGAUGGUUUGGGUCCAGCAGAAUUUUUGAAAAUGAACAUGGAAGUGGGUAAAAGCGUGGUUUGGAUACCAUGGGCAGUAAGAAGGACUCUCAUCGUUUCUUCCAAAAGCCCCUGUCAAGUCUCUACUCUGCUAUGUGUUUGCCAAAAUUUACCUUCAGCUCAAAACUACUCUGAACUCAGUGGGUAUCUGUCACAGUCAUCUUAAGUAUCCAUCUCCUAUCUAAAAGACUAAAGCUCAGAAAGGCAAGAGAGAAACCAAUAUCAUGACAACGGAUGUGCAAGUGAAAGGACGUCUAUAUGAAUUGUAUAUGGAGGCACAAGAUCUUUUUAUAAGUAAGUAAGUGAAGCAUAUGGAGCUGAGUUCAGACUUAAAAGCCCACUCAUUCUACUUGGAAGCAAAAAUGGGUAAAAAUACCAUUUCACUGCUGGUCAUUUGAGGGCUUUUGUCUUACGAUCAAUUACUGCCAUAGGCACCUCCCUGUCUUUAAUGCUUUGCUCCU
rnacentral:lncRNA from 1 species